AUUGAACGCUGGCGGCAGGCCUAACACAUGCAAGUCGAACGAGCGGCGGACGGGUGAGUAAUGUCUGGGAAACUACCUGAUGGAGGGGGAUAACUACUGGAAACGGUAGCUAAUACCGCAUACCAUCAGAUGUGCCCAGAUGGGAUUAGCUAGUCGGUGGGGUAAUGGCUCACCUAGGCGACGCUCCCUAGCUGGUCUGAGAGGAUGACCAGCCAAAAUGGAACUUAGACACGGUCCAGACUCCUACGGGAGGCAGCAGUGGGGAAUAUUGCACAAUGGGCGCAAGCCUGAUGCAGCCAUGCCGCGUGUAUGAAGAAGGCCUUCGGGUUGUAAAGCACUUUCAGCGGGGAGGCGUUACUCGCAGAAGAAGCACCGGCUAACUCCGUGCCAGCAGCCGCGGUAAUAC
rnacentral:rRNA from 1 species